AACGAACGCUGGCGGCAGGCCUAACACAUGCAAGUCGAGCGAGGACUUCGGUCCUAGCGGCGGACGGGUGAGUAACGCGUGGGAACGUGCCCUUUGCUACGGAAUAGCCCCGGGAAACUGGGAGUAAUACCGUAUGUGCCCGAGAGGGGAAAGAUUUAUCGGCAAAGGAUCGGCCCGCGUUGGAUUAGGUAGUUGGUGGGGUAAUGGCCUACCAAGCCGACGAUCCAUAGCUGGUUUGAGAGGAUGAUCAGCCACACUGGGACUGAGACACGGCCCAGACUCCUACGGGAGGCAGCAGCGGGGAAUCUUAGACAAUGGGGGAAACCCUGAUCUAGCCAUGCCGCGUGAGCGAUGAAGGCCUUAGGGUUGUAAAGCUCUUUCAGUGGGGAAGAUAAUGGCGGUACCCACAGAAGAAGCCCCGGCUAACUCCGUGCCAGCCGCCGCCGUAA
rnacentral:rRNA from 1 species